rnacentral:rRNA from 1 species
AACGAACGCUGGCGGCAUGCCUAACACAUGCAAGUCGAACGAGACCUUCGGGUCUAGUGGCGCACGGGUGCGUAACGCGUGGGAACCUGCCCUUAGGUUCGGAAUAACUCCCCGAAAGGGGUGCUAAUACCGGAUAAUGUCUUCGGACCAAAGAUUUAUCGCCUUUGGAUGGGCCCGCGUUGGAUUAGCUAGUUGGUAGGGUAAAAGCCUACCAAGGCGACGAUCCAUAGCUGGUCUGAGAGGAUGAUCAGCCACACUGGGACUGAGACACGGCCCAGACUCCUACGGGAGGCAGCAGAGGGGAAUAUUGGAAGAUGGGCGAAAGCCUGAUCCAGCAAUGCCGCGUGAGUGAUGAAGGCCUUAGGGUUGUAAAGCUCUUUUACACGGGAUGAUAAUGACAGUACCGGGAGAAUAAGCACCGGCUAACUCCGUG